GUACUUGAGGAACGCAAACGUGGGCCAGUGCCAUGUUGUCCAAUCAAUGAUUUGGCCACGGAGCACAACGGACCUCAGUGAGCACCGCGUCUGUCAGGGAGCAGCAUCUAUGCUGCGCAGGGACCGUUUGCGCACCAUCGGGGGAGCGCUCACACCUUCACCGCAACGAUCAAACCGAAAUAACGUGACUAGACUGACUAGGAGAUCAUUUGUAAACGCCUGCUCUCACAGAUUUUCUACGCUUUCUUUGUGUUGUUUUUAUAACGAGAGGCUACUCUGCGGCGAAUCAAUUUCCUUUCAAACCCGGGGAUUACAAUGAAAAAUGUAGGUGACACAUUUUCUUUUACAAUCCAGGAAUCGCAAUAGAAUCCAAGCGAAGACUGCAAAGAACAAAGCAGGGGAAAUGGUGACGGGUGCCGCAUCUGUAGGAUCAGCAUCCUCUCUGUGGAGCCCCUGCGUAAAAGACAAAACAGUGAACAACUCCAUGUGAAGCUGUGAGAGGAGGAGAAACUUCACCAAGCAGAGGGAAGGUGGAAGCAGCCUGGACCUCAUCAGCACCGUCCUGAGUGCCGAGGUUUUCCUGGGAAGUUUCUCAGCUGCUUUCAAAGCCGAGGCUCCUCAUUGUUUACUCUCAUUUUUCCACUAUUUUUACUUUCUCUGACAUUGUCAGAAUCAGGAUUUGAGCCCUCGUCCCCUCUCGUCAGCUGCUCUGUUCCAACUGAGACCAAAACCAGCUGCCAAACUGACUGUGUCAAACGAAGAAGCAAAAAACUACCCAUCACUAAGUCCUCGUAGGAACUAGUUAGUAACUAGAAAACAUCUUCCAUCGUCUCCUCCUCAACCCACAAACACAUUACAGCGUCCAGUUAAACUGACACUGAAUCUCAACACAUUCACAACAGAGUGUUAAAGAGAUAUUUUAGAACCAUUGUAAAGGUUUAUAUCCGUUGUCUUCGGUCAGUGUUUGCUGCUCUUAAUGCUUAAAACUGCGAGAUGAUGAUGAUGAUUAGUACAUUAUUAGUUCCAAGUGCUUUGUAAACGGAUUCUCCAGCUAAGGGUUUGUUUGUAGCUGGCAGCAUGGCAGGCAGCGAUAGCUCUGCCUCUUUGGCAGGAUGGCGUUUGACUGACAGGCAACACGGGCCACGUCUGCCCUGAUAAAUAUCGGCACCGCUGCCGCUGCUAUCUCGGGGGCUUGGAGAGACACUGUCGUCUCAGUCUGCGCUGUGAAACACUGCUGACACUUUGCCUUCUCCUUCUUCCAGUUGCUUACGUGCGAGAGGUCUCUGACUUUUUGUCGUCUUGUUUCUUCCAUAUGUGGCUCUUGAUUACACCGCACUAAACAACCCGAUCGCCCCCUUUAUCUAAUCCCAGUGACCUCAUCAGACUUUUUGCAUUCUUCCUGUUACUCUACUGAAACAUGCAAUUUAAAACCUUUCACAGUAUUUACAUUUUUUUUGUGGAAGGACAUCCAGUUUGUAAAAAAAAAAGGGAACACAACCUAAAGCCAUACUGAACACCAGCCAUAACGAUACCGUUCACAUUUACAAAACAGCUUCGACAUUACUUCACACGGUGACUUUCAGUCACGUCGGUGCACAUACGCAUUCAGGGAGCGGGUGAUGAAACCGCUGGUGAGACGUUUCACACAUUUCAAUGAGAGAACAGCUUUGGACGUCCUGACUUUUUCUACCUGCGUCUUUCUGGCUCGCGCUCUGAACUGAACCGUCAAGUGGCACGAGCGUGUUGAUUCGCCGUCGUCGUCGUCCCGUGUUCCUCUGUGUUGACGGAUGAAUCCGGACACUUUCAUGUCUGUGCUGUGGGCAGAACCUUGCUCCCCUGCUAGAACCGGGCCCAAGCCCUCCUUCAUUCUCUUCUGCUGGGCCACGCUACAUUCAGAGCAGACACUCACACAAGGGCAUCGACCGCACUUAGAUCCUCACGGUCUUCACCUCUGCUCUCUCUAAUCUGUGAGCACUUCAUCGCUGUUGAUUCUGUGAAUGCCUUGACGUGUCGUUUAGCAGCACCUUUAUUUUUAAAGUCACCACUCUCUAUUCAUUUAAACCAAAAUUUUAAUAAGCAUAUUGACCUUUACUGAUAUUGCUCCUUGAAUUUUCAGAAGGGAGGAGCUGGUUCAUCGAGCAAAUUGUGUGCGGUGUAGAAAGAAGAAGAAGAAGAAGAAGAAGAAAGAAACGGGUGCCAAAUUUAGACUGACUUCCUCUCAGCUUGUUCACCAAAGCUGAGAUCUCUAAAGCUGCCAGCACUGUUUACACACACACAGCUUGAAUAUUUGAACUGAUAACAUUAUUUUUCCACAUGUGAUUUUAUACAUCAGUUAUCCACACAGGACAACAGAAGUGCCGAACCCCAGCAUCAGUUAAAGCUCGUCGCACGUGCACAGUAAAGUUUACACACAGCGCUUAAUGUUUACAGACUACAUCUGUCGUCGCAGGUUCUUAUGUGAAUUUUACCUUUUGUGUCACAGAAAACCUCUUCUGGAGCAGCCAUUUGUUUUGUUUACAUCAAAUGUAAGGAAGUACUGCCUUUGUUGGGGAUUUAACAUUUUGGCCAGUUGGACAGUAAAACCACUUUUUCAUCCAACAGACCAAAAUUACAUAUCCAGCACCAACAACCCCGUUCUGUGCUAUAUUUUUAAAGUGAUUAUUUCGGAGCUCCAGCCUGUCAGCAGGCUGUUUGUAUAGGGCCUAAAACUCUUGACACACCUCAAUGUUUACAAAAGCUGCUUAAGGGAAUAGUUUAUGUAAGAGAAAUGUUUACAUAUGACAUUGAUGAAGCAGUGUUUGGACAGAGUGAAUCUGCUGGACUCCUAAGAGACACCCUUUGCAUGUGGGAAGCGUGAACACAACAGGAAGGGGUUCAUUCACCUGGACUGUUCUUACAGACGGUUUUUAUAAGCGAAGCUGUCGCCUUGGAAGCUCCCAGUGUGUUAGAAGCUGUUUAUGUACAUUUUUUAACAACAGCUGAAGAACUUUCUGGUAAAAACAAUGACACCUACAGUUUCAAGAAGGAUGUUUUGCUUGUCCUUCGUAGUCCUGCUUGUCUCCCGUCUCGCUGUUUCCACGGGGACCGUCAGCACCGAGCGACGUGCUGCUGACAGUGGCUCUGCUGCAGCAGGUAAAACGAGCACCGCCUUGUUCCUCCUGACCGGCUACAAGCCCCCGAUGCCCGCCGGGCCCAGAGUGGCGCUGAAAGCAGCCGAGGUAGAGGAGGGAGACGAUUCCCCAGUUAUGGCCGAGCUCCCCCCAAAGCCCCUCCCUCAGACCAUGCUGCCGAGGAACAUGACGGCAGACGCCCUGAAGCCCCCGCUUGGUGCGGCCCAGGUGGCUCCUCCUCCAAGACAGCUGGUGGAUGUGGACGUGUGCAGGGGUUACUUUGACGUCAUGGGACACUUUGACAGCACGUUCAACUGUUCCAAGGGCAGCUACAUCUACUGCUGCGGCACCUGCCACUACAGGUUCUGCUGCGAGCACCAGAGGAACCGGCUGGACCAGGACUCCUGCACCAACUACAAGUCCCCCGUCUGGGCCGACCCACAGGUCCCCGUCACCGUGCCCACAGGCAACAAGCCUGACCCAGACUUCGAGACGCUUCAGCAAACCAACAGCAGUACGGCCUACGUGAUUGGAGGGGUGAUCUCCUUCACGCUGGUGGUGGCUGUGGGUGUCAGGAUUGCCUUCAGCAAGGUGUCGCGCCGACCCCAAAACAGGGACAUCAACAUGCCCAGGUCGCUGGUGGAUAUCUUACGUCACCAGUCGAGCCCCGUGCAGCAGGGGGAGAGGAACAAGAACACGAUGCUGACUCCCACCGCCUCCGACGGACGCAUAUCCAAAAACCUCUACACCCCCAUCCUGCAGAGCAAAGACAACCGCACUGGGAACUUGCACCACCAUUUUAACCAGCAGGGGUCUGCCUCCAGCCCCAAACACUCUGCUACCAUCGAACGUGGAACCCGUUUGAACAACACCCCCCAGCUCUCCUCUGGUCCCACCUUGAUUUCAAGCAGCAGUAAAGGUCCUGGUGGUGUUGGUGGUGGCAGCAUCCUCGGAGGCAGCAUGAGACACAACAGCGGCCACCCAUCCUUCUCCCACUCCUUCCACAACCUGGCCCAGCUGCCACCAUCCUACGAGGCAGCCAUGAAACCUGAGCUCAACCGCUACAGCUCGCUAAAGAGGCUGGAGAAAGAACUUGAUGAGUACUACGCCUCCAAACGUCGCUUCAACAACGCUCCGCCCUCCUUCCACUCCUCACAACACCAACUGCCCUGGGCAGGUGACUACACACUGGGGUCCAGGGGCACGCUGCCCCUCAACAGCUCCAGGCCUCGACUCCACAUCCCUGCCACCACCCCAAACCCAUACCCGCUGCCUGGCCAGACGCACUACGCCAGCUCCUCCUUCGACAGGCCGCCGCGCCGCGUCCGCUCCCAGGACCAGCUGCUGGCACUCGGGGAGGGCAACACACUGUCCCAGCUGUCCAAGAACCAGCAACACCAGUACUACAAAGCCAUGAUGGGCACCAGCAGGAGUUCCAACUCACAGACCCUCCGCAGGUCCCACGAAAGGCUCCUGGUCUCUCCUGACCGUCUGGAGGACCAGCUGAUGGCAAUGGGGCUGAUGGUGGGUGGAGGUGACAGAAGCGGGAUGGUGCCCACCAUGGGCCGGCUCAGCCACCACCAGAAGGCCCAGUCGCAGCAGAACAUCUGCGUCACACCAUCCAUGGACCGCCACCACAUGAUCAAGAUGAACUCCCACCCAACGUCGGGCCACGAGCACGACCGCAGCCCCACCGCCAUACCCGGCAUGGGCCUGCACAGCUGGGACCUCUUCGGCGGAACAGGAGGCCACCCCAAUGCCCGGCGGAUGGCUUUCGCCAACAAGAGGCAGAGCACCAUCGAACAGCUGCACUUCAUCCCUGGAGGAGGAGGAGGGCAGGGACUGCGGACUGGGAGUAAGAACGAGGUGACGGUGUGAGAGAAAGAGGGAGAGAGUGAGGGAGGAGAAGUGAAGGCUGAGGUCAUAACGAAGCUGGGACAGGAUGAGCAUCAUCCUGUCCCAGCUUAGUGGGGAUUUGAAACGAGCCAGGAAAGUUGGAAGAAGACGAGGAAGAGGCUUCAUCUCGGCUGGCUGUCUCGCAGAGCCCACCCUCACCACUCCCAUAAAACAAGGUGAGAUAUGAGACCUCACCUGGAUGACAGCAUUAAUCUCAUAAGAGAAAAUAUAAAAAGGAGGAAUUCUACAAAGCAAAGGAGCUUUUGUGUGCCAUGUAAAAACACACAGCCAUGACUACUUGAGAAGUGGUGAUCGAACUGUAAAUGUUGUAGUUUUCCCGGCUGUGAGAUGGACCUUGUAGCCAUCCAGGCUGGAUUUGCCCUUUAUGGAUGUUGUUUAAGGGACUCAUGAGGCCUUGUUUGAGGUUUUCAGCUUCGUCUCUGAGUUGUAUUUCUCUAAAGACAGAUGUGUUUGCUGCCAGCCAUUUAUACAUGUGCACACAUGUUGAUAGGUUUAUGAUCAUUAUGUGUAAAGAUUCCCCCUUGAUCAGACUAUGAACGCUCUUAUCAUGAUCUUUUUUUUUUGUCUGAACAUGUAUUUGUUUUUUUAAUCUGUGAAUUUUAACAUAUAAUCUUGGAUUUUCAAUAUUUAAACUUUCUAGUGGAAUUUAAAAAAAACAAAAAAACAUUUGUAUUCUCAAGAACAAAAAGCGCUGAUGCAGUCAAUGAGAAAAGACAAACCGCAUGACGAUGUCAGAAGCCAGUCUUGAUGAUGUCAUAGUGCUGACUUAUGAUGUCACGGCGUGUAUGUGUAGAAAUCUACAUGCAUCUGUUUCCAUCUGUGUGCCCCUGUGUGUAACCCUGUGUCAUCCUCCUCCUCUGAGGAACGCCGAACCUCAUUUCUGACCAAACUCGGCUCCUGUCUUCAGCACAUGAGGAUGAUUUUAAGACCUGAGUCUCCAUCGUUAUGUGUCCAUAUCAGCUUGUAAAAAUUUUUUAUUCUUGCCAUUGUUUUAUUUUUUUAUUGUUUAUUUUUAAAGGCGCAUUGAUAAAUCACAGCUUUUUAUGGAGCUAUGUUCACCAAAGUGAGGACUUUUCAAACAUUUAAACAUGUUAAUUAUUGAAGGUUUAUAUUGUGUUCAGUUUUGGUGUUUGAAUAGAAAUGAAACAACUGAGUGCGUUAAUUUGUCACUUGGUUUUUAAGUUUGUGCUGAUGCUGUGUGACCUAAAUACAGUAUGUUUCUGCUGUUUGCGCUCGGUUUAACAGAACCUUAAGGACACAAAUGUGACUCCACAUGCAGUAUUAACAGCUUUUUAAAGUUACAGUACAUGUGAAAGGGGAAACACAGGUUUCAUUAAAGUGUUUUAGUGACAGCAGCUUUUGCUUUAAGGCUGGAUUUACACAGACCUGUGCCAGACUUGUGUUUAAAGAUUAUUACACAACAAAACUCAGCACAGUAGUUUGUAAUACAAACUAACAGGAUUGCACAACUCUUUAAAGUUAUUAUGGCUGCAGCCGUUUUAUCCCGGAUCACGACAAUCUCGAGGUAAACAGCAGAAAUAUGGCCUUCAUGCACGUGUGCACGUACACGAUUGUGCAACACAGCGCCUUGCAUGAUAAUAUGUAAAAGUUAAACCAGAACCAGCUGUUUCUCCACGUGAUCCUGCAGCACACUUUCUCCAUUCAAAUCAAUGAAAAGAGUUGUUUUUGUGUGAAUUCAGCCUGAGCGGGUUGGCAAGGUCAAUGUACUGUGACUUGCCUUUUGCUGGCGGGACUAGAAAAGCUCUGUGGUUUUUAAAAUGCAAACAUCUAAUUAACUUUCAAAAGUGAGAAGCAAAAAAGGAGGGGAAAUGGAAAAGCAGUUGUGUAUUUAAUGUCUAUCUCAUUUCUCCUCAUGCAGAUAUUGUAAUCCAUGCUCAGUUGAUAAAUCUGUGUCUGUGUGUGUGCGUGUGUGUGUGUGUGUGUGUGUGUGUGUGUGUGUGUGUGUGUUAACCACUGGAGAGGGGAUGCACAGGCAUAUUUGUAUCCUCAAAGCAUUACUGCAUACCUCAAAUUGUAAAAUACAUUUAUUUAUUUAUUACAUCCCCUUAUAUGUCUGUUUCCAAAAAAUAUCCAAACAAAGGUCUCACGGAUGUGCAACCCUUUUGUUAUUGGUGAGCGAUUCUUGCAUUUGUAGAAAUCAUACUGUUUAAUUGAUAAUAACAAUAAAUAAAAAUCCCACAAUCUUGUUUGU